rnacentral:rRNA from 1 species
UACGGAGGGUGCAAGCGUUAUCCGGAUUCACUGGGUUUAAAGGGUGCGUAGGUGGUUAUGUAAGUCAGUGGUGAAAGCCCGCGGCUCAACCGUGGAAUUGCCAUUGAAACUGCGUAACUUGAGUAUAGUUGAAGUGGGCGGAAUACAUCAUGUAGCGGUGAAAUGCUUAGAUAUGAUGUAGAACACCGAUUGCGAAGGCAGCUCACUAAACUGUAACUGACACUGAGGCACGAAAGCGUGGGGAGCGAACAGG